rnacentral:rRNA from 1 species
CGUCGAGUGGCGGACGGGUGAGUAAUACUUAGGUAUCUGCCCAGUAGUGGGGGGACAACUCGAGGAAACUCGAGCUAAUACCGCAUACGCCCUACGGGGGAAAGCAGGGGAUCUUCGGACCUUGCGCUAUUGGAUGAGCCUAAGUCGGAUUAGCUUGUUGGUGGGGUAAAGGCCUACCAAGGCGACGAUCCGUAGCUGGUCUGAGAGGACGAUCAGCCACACUGGGACUGAGACACGGCCCAG